ensembl:lncRNA
CACACACACACACUCUUCUUACUCCUUUAACUCUCACACACACACACACUCUUCUUACUCCUUUAACUCUCACACUCACACACACUCUUCUUACUCCUUUAACUCUCACACACACACUCUUCUUACUCCUUUAACUCUCACACACACACUCUUCUUACUCCUUUAACUCUCACACACACACACUCUUCUUACUCCUUUAACUCUCACACACACACACACACUCUUCUUACUCCUUUAACUCUCACACACACACUCUUCUUACUCCUUUAACUCUCACACACACACUCUUCUUACUCCUUUAACUCUCACACACACACUCUUCUUACUCCUUUAACUCUCACACACACACUCUUCUUACUCCUUUAACUCUCACUCACACACACUCUUCUUACUCCUUUAACUCUCACACACACACUCUUCUUACUCCUUUAACUCUCACACACACACACACUCUUCUUACUCCUUUAACUCUCACACACACACACACUCUUCUUACUCCUUUAACUCUCACACACACACACACUCUUCUUACUCCUUUAACUCUCACACACACACACACUCUUCUUACUCCUUUAACUCUCACACUCACACACACUCUUCUUACUCCUUUAACUCUCACACACACACUCUUCUUACUCCUUUAACUCUCACACACACACUCUUCUUACUCCUUUAACUCUCACACACACACACUCUUCUUACUCCUUUAACUCUCACACACACACACACACACUCUUCUUACUCCUUUAACUCUCACACACACACACACACUCUUCUUACUCCUUUAACUCUCACACACACACUCUUCUUACUCCUUUAACUCUCACUCACACCCUCCAGCAAAAAAGGCUCAGUUGGACGACCUGGCUCUGAGGUCACCGUCUAGAUUCCUCGCGGUUGAUUGGCUGGCAUGGCCAGUGAGUGGUUUCCAUGGCGACAUCUGGUGGUAUCCAUGGCGACAUCUGGUGGUAUCCAUGGCGACAUCAGGUGGUAUCCAUGGUGACAUCCUCCGGUGUCUCGACUCCACAGAAGUCCAUGAUCACAUUAUCAGACGUCUCUUCCCACGGGGUUACAGCCAAUCAGAAGGCAUUAUCAGACGUCUCUUCCCACAGGGUUACAGCCAAUCAGAAGGCAUUAUCAGACGUCUCUUCCCACGGGGUUACAGCCAAUCAGAAGGCAUUAUCAGACGUCUCCUCCCACGGGGUUACAGCCAAUCAGAAGGCAUUAUCAGACGUCUC